rnacentral:tRNA from 1 species
AAGAGAAUGGAGAUCUAGAAGAAGCUGCUAACUAUCUUCUAAAGCGGUUAAAUUCCGUUUUUCUCUUG